GGAGAAUAACCAUCAUUCCCCUUGAGCAUACCUUCAUGUUCAAUCUCGACAGUUACACUCGAAAACUACUUUCUGUACUUGGGAAGAAGGGUGUCACUAUCGGGGCAAAGCUGAGACCUGUUUUGGACAAACAGACACAGGACCAAACAGUUGAGAUGAGACGUGGAGAUGUGAUUCGUGGAUUAAUGCUCUACCUCGGUGAAAAAGAGGAAGAACUCUUUCUGGAUUGAUAGGUGGACAACUUCAAGGAUGUUUGGCAGCACAACAUGAAGAUCAUUGCUGUUCGAGCUUCCUAUGCUGAAGAUCCUGUGGAUGUCUGUAUUGUUCUUGACGGCAAGGAGAUUUUGACUGGAUGUGGAAAUGCUGCAAAGGCAUGUACACUGCUAAUGGGUCUCAUAUAUUCCCUCAAUCUUGCUUAUUCUCCAAAGCUGUUUCACUUUUAAACUGUUCCGGAAACUUUUCUUAGAUUUAGAUGCAAUAAAGCUAUCCCCCAAAAUACAAACCCUAACAAAUGAAGUUGCUGUCCAAAUGUAAAAUUUGACAUUUUGUUCAGACUAAGUGGCUUGGCAUUGGCAUUUCCAUGGUAGCAUUUUAUUCUAGCAAGUAGUUUUGUUAUGGUGUAACAUCUGCACAUGUUUCAAAGUGGUGUUAUAUUUGGAUGUUAUUUAUAAGUCUUUCUGGUUUGGAAGUCACUUUUCAUGCAGACCUUAGACUAUUUUUUGGUUCUUUAUCUAGUUUAAGUUUUCUUUAAUAUUUACUGCAAUGCCCAAUACUCUGCUGCAAUCAUUUGUUGCACUAAAUGCUAAUAAUUGUUCAUGAAUGUUAAUACAGUUAUACCACAUAUGCAGCCAUU